AUGCAAUGGUGAGGGCAUCCCUUGAUCAUUCUCUUGAAUCUUCCCCACACGUCAAUAAGGUUCUCACUAUCUCUCUGUUCAAAGGUCAUCAAAUCUUGCCU
rfam:Cucumis sativus cultivar 9930 chromosome 1, whole genome shotgun sequence.